rnacentral:piRNA from 1 species
UAUACUCAUCUGCCAUUGCCUUUCUCCAA